rnacentral:rRNA from 1 species
GGUUAAGCGAACAAGCGUACACGGUGGAUGCCCUGGCAGUCAGAGGCGAUGAAGGACGUGCUAAUCUGCGAAAAGCGCCGGUAAGGUGAUAUGAACCGUUAUAACCGGCGAUGUCCGAAUGGGGAAACCCGGUGCACUUCGGUGCAUCAUCGUUAGCUGAAUACAUAGGCUAACGAGGCGAACCGGGGGAACUGAAACAUCUAAGUACCCCGAGGAAAAGAAAUCAACCGAGAUUCCCCCAGUAGCGGCGAGCGAACGGGGAACAGCCCAGAGCCUGAAUCAGCUUGUGUGUCAGUGGAACGGUCUGGAAAGGCCGGCGAUACAGGGUGACAGCCCCGUACACGAAGGCACACAGGCUGUGAGCUCGAUGAGUAGGGCGGGACACGUGAUAUCCUGUCUGAAGAUGGGGGGACCAUCCUCCAAGGCUAAAUACUCCUGACUGACCGAUAGUGAACCAGUACCGUGAGGGAAAGGCGAAAAGAACCCCGGCGAGGGGAGUGAAACAGAACCUGAAACCGUGUACGUACAAGCAGUGGGAGCCUUCGUAAGAGGGUGACUGCGUACCUUUUGUAUAAUGGGUCAGCGACUUAUAUUCUGUAGCAAGGUUAACCGUAUAGGGGAGCCGAAGGGAAACCGAGUCUUAAUUGGGCGUUAAGUUGCAGGGUAUAGACCCGAAACCCGGUGAUCUAGCCAUGGGCAGGUUGAAGGUUGGGUAACACUAACUGGAGGACCGAACCGACUAAUGUUGAAAAAUUAGCGGAUGACCUGUGGCUGGGGGUGAAAGGCCAAUCAAACCGGGAGAUAGCUGGUUCUCCCCGAAAGCUAUUUAGGUAGCGCCUCGUGAAUUCAUCUCCGGGGGUAGAGCACUGUUUCGGCUAGGGGGCCAUCCCGGCUUACCAACCCGAUGCAAACUGCGAAUACCGGAGAAUGUUAUCACGGGAGACACACGGCGGGUGCUAACGUCCGUCGUGAAGAGGGAAACAACCCAGACCGCCAGCUAAGGUCCCAAAGUCAUGGUUAAGUGGGAAACGAUGUGGGAAGGCCCAGACAGCCAGGAUGUUGGCUUAGAAGCAGCCAUCAUUUAAAGAAAGCGUAAUAGCUCACUGGUCGAGUCGGCCUGCGCGGAAGAUGUAACGGGGCUAAACCAUGCACCGAAGCUGCGGCAGCGACACUAUGUGUUGUUGGGUAGGGGAGCGUUCUGUAAGCCUGUGAAGGUGUGCUGUGAGGCAUGCUGGAGGUAUCAGAAGUGCGAAUGCUGACAUAAGUAACGAUAAAGCGGGUGAAAAGCCCGCUCGCCGGAAGACCAAGGGUUCCUGUCCAACGUUAAUCGGGGCAGGGUGAGUCGACCCCUAAGGCGAGGCCGAAAGGCGUAGUCGAUGGGAAACAGGUUAAUAUUCCUGUACUUGGUGUUACUGCGAAGGGGGGACGGAGAAGGCUAUGUCAGCCGGGCGACGGUUGUCCCGGUUUAAGCGUGUAGGCUGACUUUCCAGGCAAAUCCGGAAGGUUAAGGCUGAGGCGUGAUGACGAGGCACCACGGUGCUGAAGUGACAAAUGCCCUGCUUCCAGGAAAAGCCUCUAAGCAUCAGGUAACAUCAAAUCGUACCCCAAACCGACACAGGUGGUCAGGUAGAGAAUACCAAGGCGCUUGAGAGAACUCGGGUGAAGGAACUAGGCAAAAUGGUGCCGUAACUUCGGGAGAAGGCACGCUGACAUGUAGGUGAAGCCCCUGCGGGUGGAGCUGAAGUCAGUCGAAGAUACCAGCUGGCUGCAACUGUUUAUUAAAAACACAGCACUGUGCAAACACGAAAGUGGACGUAUACGGUGUGACGCCUGCCCGGUGCCGGAAGGUUAAUUGAUGGGGUUAUCGCAAGAGAAGCUCCUGAUCGAAGCCCCGGUAAACGGCGGCCGUAACUAUAACGGUCCUAAGGUAGCGAAAUUCCUUGUCGGGUAAGUUCCGACCUGCACGAAUGGCGUAAUGAUGGCCAGGCUGUCUCCACCCGAGACUCAGUGAAAUUGAACUCGCUGUGAAGAUGCAGUGUACCCGCGGCAAGACGGAAAGACCCCGUGAACCUUUACUACAGCUUGACACUGAACAUUGAGCCUUGAUGUGUAGGAUAGGUGGGAGGCUUUGAAGCGUGGACGCCAGUCUGCGUGGAGCCAACCUUGAAAUACCACCCUUUAAUGUUUGAUGUUCUAACCUGGCGCCGUGAUCCGGCGUGGGGACAGUGUCUGGUGGGUAGUUUGACUGGGGCGGUCUCCUCCCAAAGUGUAACGGAGGAGCACGAAGGUCAGCUAAUCCUGGUCGGACAUCAGGAGGUUAGUGCAAUGGCAUAAGCUGGCUUGACUGCGAGAGUGACGGCUCGAGCAGGUGCGAAAGCAGGUCAUAGUGAUCCGGUGGUUCUGUAUGGAAGGGCCAUCGCUCAACGGAUAAAAGGUACUCCGGGGAUAACAGGCUGAUACCGCCCAAGAGUUCAUAUCGACGGCGGUGUUUGGCACCUCGAUGUCGGCUCAUCACAUCCUGGGGCUGAAGUAGGUCCCAAGGGUAUGGCUGUUCGCCAUUUAAAGUGGUACGCGAGCUGGGUUUAGAACGUCGUGAGACAGUUCGGUCCCUAUCUGCCGUGGGCGCUGGAGAAUUGAGGGGGGCUGCCCAGUACGAGAGGACCGGAGUGGACGCAUCACUGGUGUUCGGGUUGUCAUGCCAAUGGCACUGCCCGGUAGCUAAAUGCGGAAGAGAUAAGUGCUGAAAGCAUCUAAGCACGAAACUUGCCCCGAGAUGAGUUCUCCCUGAGACUUUAAGUCUCCUGAAGGAACGUUGAAGACGACGACGUUGAUAGGCCGGGUGUGUAAGCGCAGCGAUGCGUUGAGCUAACCGGUACUAAUGAACCGUGAGGCUUAACCUU